rnacentral:rRNA from 1 species
GAUGAACGCUGGCGGCGUGCCUAAUACAUGCAAGUCGAGCGAACGGACGAGAAGCUUGCUUCUCUGAUGUUAGCGGCGGACGGGUGAGUAACACGUGGAUAACCUACCUAUAAGACUGGGAUAACUUCGGGAAACCGGAGCUAAUACCGGAUAAUAUUUUGAACCGCAUGGUUCAAAAGUGAAAGACGGUCUUGCUGUCACUUAUAGAUGGAUCCGCGCUGCAUUAGCUAGUUGGUAAGGUAACGGCUUACCAAGGCAACGAUGCAUAGCCGACCUGAGAGGGUGAUCGGCCACACUGGAACUGAGACACGGUCCAGACUCCUACGGGAGGCAGCAGUAGGGAAUCUUCCGCAAUGGGCGAAAGCCUGACGGAGCAACGCCGCGUGAGUGAUGAAGGUCUUCGGAUCGUAAAACUAUGUUAUUAGGGAAGAACAUAUGUGUAAGUAACUGUGCACAUCUUGACGGUACCUAAUCAGAAAGCCACGGCUAACUACGUG